GCUGGGUGUGGUGGCGCCUGCCUGUAAUCCCAGCAGCUCAGGAGGCUGAGGCAAGAAGAUCAAAAAUUCAAGGCUAGCCUCAG
rnacentral:sRNA from 1 species